rnacentral:lncRNA from 1 species
GAGGAUCUUCAUCAGGUAGUCGGUGAGAUCGCGGCCCGCCAGGUCCAGGCGCAUGAUGGCGUGCGGCAGCGCGUAGCCCUCAUAAAUGGGCACGUUGUGGGUCUCAAACAUGAUCUGGGUCAUCUUCUCGCGGUUGGCCUUGGGAUUGAGGGGGGCCUCGGUGAGCAGGGUGGGGUGCUCCUCGGGAGCCACGCGAAGCUCGUUGUAGAAGGUGUGGGUCAGGAUACCUCUCUUGCUCUGAGCCUCGU